rnacentral:rRNA from 1 species
GACGAACGCUGGCGGCGUUCUUAACACAUGCAAGUCGAACGGUGAAAGCGGAGCUUGCUCCGCUGGAUCAGUGGCGAACGGGUGAGUAACACGUGGGCAACCUGCCCCUCACUUCGGGAUAACUCCGGGAAACCGGGGCUAAUACCGGAUAUGACCUCCUUGGGCAUCCUUGGAGGUGGAAAGUUUUUCGGUGAGGGAUGGGCCCGCAGCCUAUCAGCUUGUUGGUGAGGUAGUGGCUCACCAAGGCGACGACGGGUAGCCGGCCUGAGAGGGCGACCGGCCACACUGGGACUGAGACACGGCCCAGACUCCUACGGGAGGCAGCAGUGGGGAAUAUUGCGCAAUGGGAGAAAGCCUGACGCAGCAACGCCGCGUGCGGGAUGACGGCCUUCGGGUUGUAAACCGCUUUCAGCAGGGAAGAAGCCGCAAGGUGACGGUACCUGCAGAAGAAGCACCGGCUAACUACGUGCCAGCCGCCGCGGUAA